rnacentral:rRNA from 1 species
UACGUAGGGUGCAAGCGUUGUCCGGAAUUAUUGGGUGUAAAGAGCUCGUAGGCGGUUUGUCGCGUCUGCUGUGAAAACCCGAGGCUCAACCUCGGGCCUGCAGUGGGUACGGGCAGACUAGAGUGCGGUAGGGGAGACUGGAAUUCCUGGUGUAGCGGUGGAAUGCGCAGAUAUCAGGAGGAACACCGAUGGCGAAGGCAGGUCUCUGGGCCAUUACUGACGCUGAGAAGCGAAAGCAUGGGGAGCGAACAGG